rnacentral:sRNA from 1 species
GUCGUGAGAUGUUGGGUUAAGUCCCGCAACGAGCGCAACCCUUGUCCUUAGUUGCUACGCAAGAGCACUCUAAGGAGACUGCCGGUGACAAACCGGAGGAAGGUGGGGAUGACGUCAAGUCCUCAUGGCCCUUAUGGGUAGGGCUUCACACGUCAUACAAUGGCCGGUACAGAGGGUUGCCAACCCGCGAGGGGGAGCCAAUCCCAGAAAGCCGGUCGUAGUCCGGAUUGCAGUCUGCAACUCGACUGCAUGAAGUCGGAAUCGCUAGUAAUCGCGGAUCAGCAUGUCGCGGUGAAUACGUUCCCGGGUCUUGUACACACCGCCCGUCACACCAUGGGAGUGGGGUGCACCAGAAGUAGGUAGGCUAACCGCAAGGGGGCCGCUUACCACGGUUUGCUUCAUGACUGGGGUGAAGUCGUAACAAGGUAGCCGUAUCGGAAGGUGCGGCUGGAUCACCUCCUUUCUCGGAGUCAGGAGUCAGCGGUCAGUUGCCAGUAGUCAGUUGGCAGUGACUGCGCUCCCAUCCAUAGCCUUAGCACCCACAGCCUAUCGGACGUCAGCACACGCAUUCGGCGCGGUGCGGGGUGGUGGUUGCAAGGUCAACUGCCUCCUGUCCACGGCGCACUGAAUCGGGCCUGUAGCUCAGUUGGUUAGAGCACCGUCUUGAUAAGGCGGGGGUCGAUGGUUCGAAUCCAUCCAGACCCACCAGUGAGCCUGGGGCUUGGCCGCGGUCGACACGGGGGCUGUAGCUCAAUUGGGAGAGCGCCUGCUUUGCAAGCAGGAGGUCGUCGGUUCGAUCCCGUCCAGCUCCACCAUUCAGGAGUCAGUUGACGGUUGUCAGUUGACAGUCCCGAACGCAGUCGUCAUCAGCCAGUCGAUCGUUGGUCGUUCACUGCCAACUGUCAACUGCCUACUGGCAUCUGACCAGUAUUGGUUGCUCUUUAACAAUCCGGAAGAAGUAGAGAUGUCUUGCUCGCGAGGGUGGGCCAGGGCGACCGCCAUGGUGCGCGUUCACGAGUGAGAUGGGUUUGAUUGUAUCGAGCCUGCUGUUCCCUUAGUCGGGGGCGGUGGGUGAAUCGCAAACACCCGUGACGCUGGUGCUGUGUCAGCAGUGCGUAGCGUUAUGGGGUCAAGCGACUAAGUGCAUGUGGUGGAUGCCUUGGCGAUCACAGGCGAUGAAGGACGUGGCAGCCUGCGAAAAGCUGCGGGGAGCUGGCAAACGAGCAAUGAUCCGCAGAUGU